rnacentral:rRNA from 1 species
UACGUAGGUGGCAAGCGUUGUCCGGAUUUACUGGGCGUAAAGAGCGCGCAGGCGGUCGAUCAAGUCGCGUGUGAAAGCCCCCGGCUCAACUGGGGAGGGUCACGCGAUACUGAUCGACUCGAAGGCAGGAGAGGGUAGUGGAAUUCCCGGUGUAGUGGUGAAAUGCGUAGAUAUUGGGAAGAACACCGGUGGCGAAGGCGGCGAGCUGGUCCAUUACUGACGCUGAGGCGCGACAGCGUGGGGAGCAAACAGG